GACGAACGCUGGCGGCGUGCUUAACACAUGCAAGUCGAACGGAAAGGCCCCAGCUUGCUGGGGUACUCGAGUGGCGAACGGGUGAGUAACACGUGGGUGAACUGCCCUGCACUCUGGGAUAAGCCUGGGAAACUGGGUCUAAUACCGGAUAGGACCGUGCUUUAGUGUGUGCGGUGGAAAGUUUUUCGGUGCAGGAUGAGCCCGCGGCCUAUCAGCUUGUUGGUGGGGUAAUGGCCUACCAAGGCGGCGACGGGUAGCCGGCCUGAGAGGGUGUACGGCCACAUUGGGACUGAGACACGGCCCAGACUCCUACGGGAGGCAGCAGUGGGGAAUAUUGCACAAUGGGCGCAAGCCUGAUGCAGCGACGCCGCGUGGGGGAUGACGGCCUUCGGGUUGUAAACCCCUUUCGGCAGGGACGAAGCUUUUGUGACGGUACCUGCAUAAGAAGCACCGGCUAACUACGUG
rnacentral:rRNA from 1 species